GGCCCUAUCGUCUAAUCGGUUAGGACACUGCCCUUUCACGGCAGCAAUCGGGAUUCGAGUUCCCGUAGGGUCA
rnacentral:tRNA from 1 species